UAUACAACCGAACCCCCGCACAGCCCACGAAUCCACCAUCCACCACCACCCCUAUCCCCAUCAACAACGCAAAAACCUAAACCGCUCGCUCUGGUCCAUCCAGAUCCACAGUCGCCAUCGCCCCCACCUCUCGUCGUCGUCUCCGUGCACCACUCGGCCCCCACUGUCGGCCGCGCCUCCCAGCCACCUCGUGCCGCUCUGCCACCCCGCCCGUCCUCCACUGCCCCUAUGGCUGCCAUGGGCGAGCGCUGCCCGAGUAGCCGACCGCCCUUUCCCCGCCGUCUUCAGCUGCCGCGCGCUGCCCCGCCUCCCCGCCAGGCCUCCACUGCCCACUUCUCCGGCGGCUACAGCGGAAGGCAAGGAGAAGGACAGCGGGCAGCGGUAGCUGGAUCUAGCAAGCACAGGGCGUCUUCUCCAUCCGCCACCUCUCGGCGCAUCAUCAGCUGAGAGUUUCAGGCAUUUGCUCAGGUGUUUUCAUUUCAUAAUAUAGCUACUACUAUUUUAAUGAUGGGUAAGAGAUUAGGUGGUUGUACUGUACAAAAUAUUCAUGUGUUUUACUGGCCAUCAAGUUUCCCUUAAAUUAAUGCCUAAUUGCAUUUGUUGGGGUUACGUACUAAUGCCUUGAAAGGACUGUGUAAUAUUCCAGAAUAUUGUGUUCAUUUUCAUAAGUAAAAUUUGUUUGGGUGAAGUUGAUUUUUCACAUAUAUUUGAGAUCUGUUUAGACAAGCCUUGAUGAACUUGGUUGUUUAGCAUAGUUCGGCUUUCACAAAUCACAAUGUUUAGAAUCUUUUUAUACGCAUGGGGCUUAUAUGAUGAAGCUUCACUGCUCCACUACUAUUUGACAUACAAUAUGUUUAGAAUGUUUUUUAUAAUUGAGCUUUCACAAUGUUUAGAAUCUUUUAUUCUUAUAAUGUAUGUUUUUAUGCCACGUACUCAUAGUUUUUACAAUCAGUUGCUUAUGAUCCUUCAGUUCAUUAACGAACUUUUAGGUGGUUGUGCUUGAUCGGUGGUGUUCUCAUGCCUUCUGUUUUGUGGCUGUAGGAUAUCAAGAGGAGGGAAGAGGCGCUGAAGAAUGGUGCAGAUACACAUUUGUUUUUGCAUAAUUGCUGCCAUAGCUCCACCAAUUGUAUUUCAUGGGAAAUCAUUAACAUAUUUCGUUCCCUCCGUUGAGAAGAUCCAGCAACUCCUUGUGCUAUGUAGCCCCCUUUGAAGAUAAAAAAACUUCUGAUAGGUUUGGAGCUACUGCUCUCAGCUGCAGGUGUCCAUCUCUUGAACAUAACCUUUGUGGUUUGCUCAGUCUGGAGCUAUUUUGUUUCAGCUGUGUUGUGUGAUUAAAAUUGGGUCUCGGAGGUAUUUUGCAGAACUACCACUAUGUUUUAAUCUUGUAUGUUUGGUCUGUCGAUCUUGUUGUCAUUACUGAAGGAGUUUUGAUCUGAUACCACAUCUCUGGUAGCUACAAACCUACAAGCUUUGACUAGGCCGAUACAAAGUUGUUUCUGCUUCUUUAUCUCUAUAUCAUUGUAACACCCUGAAUUUGGGGGUAUAAAAUUUCUUUGCUCA